GAGAGAGGAUGAGAGGGAGGAGUAACAAAAGUGAAAACAAUUUGAAAUAGAAUUCAGUUUUUGUUUUCACUUUUGUUACUUCUCCCUCUCAUCCUAUC
rnacentral:miRNA from 1 species